rnacentral:rRNA from 1 species
UACGGAGGGUACGAGCGUUAAUCGGAAUAACUGGGCGUAAAGGGGACGCAGGCGGGCUUUUAAGUGAGAUGUGAAAACCCCGGGCUUAACCUGGGAAUAGCAUUUCAGACUGGGAGUCUAGAGUACUUUAGGGAGAGGUAGAAUUCCACGUGUAGCGGUGAAAUGCGUAGAGAUGUAGAGGAAUACCGAAGGCGAAGGCGGCGCCUUGGGAAUGUACUGACGCUCAUGUACGAAAGCGUGGGGAGCAAACAGG